GGACAAGAUGUGAUCUGGCUAUGACACGUGCCAUGUUAUUGUUCACUAAGGUUGAUUUGAGUGACCUGGCUGAUUUGGCAAUAGUCCCCUUCCUCCCUCAAAACUGCAUAUGUGUUCUCCCACAGCCCCCAACCUGUGUGCUCAGUAAAACAGGAUUACCAUUCCAGAUAGAAAGAGUAUAUAAUCUUCAGUCAGUCACUGUGUUCCCAUUGCAACCUCAAAACAAGCUCAGGAUUGUUUCUUCUGUGGAACUCUGGCUUAUCUU
rnacentral:sRNA from 1 species